CCAACAGGGAUUGCCUUAGUAACGGCGAGUGAAGCGGCAAGAGCUCAAAUUUGAAAUCUGAUCCUUUCGGGGGUCCGAGUUGUAAUUUGCAGAGAGUGUUUCGGGUGAGACCGCGGUCUAAGUCCAUUGGAACAUGGUGUCAUAGAGGGUGAGAAUCCCGUAUGUGACUGCGGGUCGAGCCCAUGUGAAGCCUCUUCGACGAGUCGAGUUGUUUGGGAAUGCAGCUCAAAAUGGGUGGUAAAUUUCAUCUAAAGCUAAAUACCGGCUGGAGACCGAUAGCGCACAAGUAGAGUGAUCGAAAGAUGAAAAGCACUUUGAAAAGAGAGUCAAACAGUACGUGAAAUUGUUGAAAGGGAAGCGUUUGCAACCAGACCUGCCCGUAGGUGAUCAACCGCUGUUUUCAGUGGUGCACUCGCUCUACGAUCAGGCCAGCAUCGGUUCGGGCGGCCGGACAAAGGCCUUGGGAAUGUAGCUCUCCCCGGGGAGUUUUAUAGCCCUCGGUGCAAUGCGGCCAGCCUGGACCGAGGACCGCGCUUCGGCUAGGAUGCUGGCGUAAUGGCUGUAAACGACCCGUCUUGAAACACGGACCAAGGAGUCUAACAUCUAUGCGAGUGUUUGGGUGUCAAACCCAUACGCGGAAUGAAAGUGAACGGAGGUGAGAACCCCUAAGGGCGCAUCAUCGACCGAUCCAGAUGUCUUCGGAUGGAUUUGAGUAUGAGCAUAGCUGUUGGGACCCGAAAGAUGAUGAACUAUACUUGAAUAGGGUGAAGCCAGAGGAAACUCUGGUGGAGGCUCGCAGCGGUUCUGACGUGCAAAUCGAUCGUCAAAUUUGGGUAUAGGGGCGAAAGACUAAUCGAAUCAUCUAGUAGCUGGUUCCUGCCGAAGUUUCCCUCAGGAUAGCAGUAACGUUUUCAGUUUUAUGAGGUAAAGCGAAUGAUUAGAGGCCUUGGGGUUGAAACAACCUUAACCUAUUCUCAAACUUUAAAUAUGUAAGAAGUCCUUGUUACUUAGUUGAACGUGGACAUUUGAAUGCACCGUUACUAGUGGGCCAUUUUUGGUAAGCAGAACUGGCGAUGCGGGAUGAACCGAACGCGAGGUUAAGGUGCCGGAAUGUACGCUCAUCAGACACCACGAAUAGCGUACCGGGAAGGCUCUCGAUUUACUCGGGUGGGCUCCGCGCUCACGGGGAGCAACUGUGGUGUCGCGCUCCGUAGGCUCCGGCCUCUGGGGGACAGUCUCGUCGCAGGCGAGGUCUUUGAUUUAUAGGGGCUCGCUUUAUUAGCUUACCCUUGGCCGUCGUCCGACGGCUCACAGAUCAAGCAAGGGCCGGCGGUUUAAUCACUUUCCGCUUAAGAUAUGAUCGGCUUCCAGGCUACGAGCCUGGAAAUUAUGCGCAAAAGGUGUUGAUUCAUCUAGACAGCCGGACGGUGGCCAUGGAAGUCGGAAACCGCUAAGGAGUGUGUAACAACUCACCGGCCGAAUGAAUCAGCCCUGAAAAUGGAUGGCGCUCAAGCGUGCUACCCAUACCUCGCCGCCAGGGUAGAAACGAUGCCCUGGCGAGUAGGCAGGCGUGGGGGUCCGUGACGAAGCCUUGGGAGUGAUCCCGGGUAGAACGGCCCCUAGUGCAG
rnacentral:rRNA from 1 species